CUGCCCAGUGCUCUGAAUGUCAAAGUGAAGAAAUUCAACCAAGCGCGGGUAAACGGCGGGAGUAACUAUGACAUUAACCUAAAAGUUUUUAAUUCUUCAAAAAUCAACUUAUCAUGCUUGAUUCCCUAAUAUCUUAAAGUUUAAACAAUAAAUGCAUAAAUG
rnacentral:ncRNA from 1 species